rnacentral:lncRNA from 1 species
AAUAAAAACCUUCCACGAGAGCAACUAGGCACUGUAUAUCAAAGAUUCAGGAAAAAAAGAAAUAAAUGUACACCCUCUACCCCCAAUAAUUCCAUUUCUGGGAAUCUUGCUAAAGAAAAUAAUCCUAAACUUGGAAGAGUUAUCUGUGUAAAGAUGUUUAUUAAGGUUAUUUAGAAGGGAAGAGAGUGCAAAUGUCCCAAAUGCUCAAUAAAUAAGGUAAUAUUGAACUAAACUAAAAUAUGCUCAUUUGAUGAUAUAUUGAAUAGUUUUGUUUUUUGUUUUUUUUUUAAGUAUCAAAAGCACAUAAAUGAAGUAUUAGGUCAUCUUUUAAAUACCAUUUCCAACUAAAAGGAGUAAAGUUCUCUUAAAAAAUGACUGAUUAUGGGUCUGCAGCAGGGGAAAUGCAAAUCUGAAAUAUUUUCUGUAACAAAACAAGUUAACUGCUUAAAGAUUGAUGGGACCAAGUCAAAAGGACACAGAAGCUUCUUUAAAGAGCUCCUCUUGGCCAAAUUUGGGACAAUCUGAGCAUCAAAAAAGGAAUAACAGGGAUCCCUGGGUGGCGCAGCGGUUUGGCGCCUGCCUUUGGCCCAGGGCAUGAUCCUGGAGACCCAGGAUCGAAUCCCACGUCAGGCUCCCGGUGCAUGGAGCCUGCUUCUCCCUCUGCCUGUGUCUCUGCCCCUCUCUCUCUCUCUCUCUGUAUGACUAUCAUAAAUAAAUUAAAAAAAAAAAAAGGAAUAACAGUAAUAAUGGUAACAAAUUAUAUCACACUGAAUAGAUAGAUAAAUACAUAAUUUUUGAGACCAUGGGGAUGAAAGAGAAACAGAGAGACAGAGAAGCAGCAGAGCAGCAGCUUUUUUUUUUUUACAAGAGAAUACUAGAUAAUAAAUAAAAGAAAUGACAAAAUUAGAGUCACCAUUUUGCAAUCCCCAGCAUCAUAACAAAUAUAAGCAGAGAUCAUCAAUGGAAGCUAAAAACCACUGGGCAAAUAAUUUUAUUUGUUGGGAACAAAUAAUCAAAGGUCUUCGGAUAUCCCAUGACAGCUUACCCUUAAAUUGUAAAGGAAAGAUCUGAUGAACUCCAAAUUAUCCAAGUGAUCGAGCCCAGCAUCACGAAUAAAAGGACAAAUGUGCACUACGGGCCUACCAGUGUGACAUAGUGGGAAGUCCACAACAUCCCCUAUGUAGUGGUCUUUUCUGAAAUGUCUAACCUAUACUGAAUCAUGAGGAAACUGGAAAAACCCAGAAUGUGGGACAUUCUGCAUGACAGCUGCCCUGGAUGCUUCAUAAUGAUCAAUGUCUGAAAAACAAAUUAACAAUAAUAAAAUGGGGAACUGUUCAAGAUUUUAAAAGACUAAAGAAACUUAACAAAUGCCAUAGGGGGGAGUCCUGGUUAAAUCCUGAAUCUGGUAUAUAUAUAUAUGACAUUUUAAGGGGAAAAAUGGAAAUAAUUUAAUAUGGACUGCAUAAUAGACAACACUAUUGUGGAUGUGUUCAUAUGGUCCUGUAGGAGAAUUCUUUAUUUUUAGGAAAUGGCUGCUGAAUUAUUUAGAGUGAAAGUGUCAUAUUUGCAACUUGCAUCAAACAUUUAAGUUAAAGAGAGAAAGGGAUAAAGUGAAUAUGGCAAAAUGUUAAAAAAAAAAAAGUAGUGAAUUUAGGUGAAGGAUAUACAGAUUUUCACUGUACUUGUUUCUGUGAACUUGUCUGUAGGUUUGACAUUUUUUUAAAAAAAUGGAAGAAAAUAAAGCUCACAAUAAAAAUGGGGAACUAUGCAAUGUUAAGUGAAAAAAAAUAAGGACAUAAAAUUGUGUAUGCCACAAUUAUAGCUAUAUAAAAAUAAGAACAAGAGAAAUGAUCUUUAUUCAUUUCAACAUUUGUUAAGCUCCUGCCACAU